CUUGGGAGCUGGCUUGCCUGCGAUGCUGCUGACUCGGUGUGUCAGGUACAUCGCAGUGAUGCCAUCGCAGGCAAGCCAGCUCCCACA
rnacentral:antisense_RNA from 1 species